CUCCAUUAGCAUCCAGGAGCUGUGACAGCCCAGCCCUCUCCAGCUCAAACAAGUGCAGCCACAAACAGAAAAAUCAACUUACCCCAGCCAAUGCAGAGAUAAAGCCGAAAAAUCCUUUGUUCAGAGAAGACCGAAAGUACCAGCAGCGUGUAAAGGUACAUGCCUUCCACCAGCAACCAGUAGUAGUUUGCAGCCACACAAUACUGCAUCAUCACAAAGACCAACCGGCAGCUGAGUGAUUCCUGUGAGGGAAGAAAGCACAGCCCAAGGGGCCAAGAAUAAAAGGAUACUAACACGAAA